CCGGGGAUGAGCCGGUGGCACGGCACGGCCCGCGGGGACCGGCUGGGUGGAGACAGCCGAACCCGGCCCAUCGCCAGUGGUGCUUGGGGCCGCGGGGCCGGCCAUCUGGCGCCGGCAGUGGCGGGCGGGUGACGCUGGCUGCGGUGACCGGGGUUGGGGAUCAGCGGGGCGAGACGGCCCUCGGCCUGACAAGCGCUGCCCGUGCCGCGUGCAGCAGUCGGAACGGCCCAACUGCACAGCCGCAGACGCAUGUUCGGCUGUGGUGGGACAUUGUGACUUGCUCGCGGACUGCGGACUGUGACUGCGCGCCAUUCCCGGCUCGUUUUCGCGUCACAGGACAGCAGCGCUCGUGUGGCUGGCCGUGAUAUAGUGGUGCUCUAGUCGUUUGUGCGUUUGGUUCGCGAUGCUACGUGUGCCGUCCGGUGUGCCACUAGCGUACUAGCGUGGAGUGUUUUAUCAAGCGUGUAAUUGUCACAGGUACAAUAAACUCGGGUGGCAG